rnacentral:rRNA from 1 species
UGGGGAAUAUUGCACAAUGGGGGAAACCCUGAUGCAGCGACCCCGCGUGGAGGAAGAAAGUCUUCCGAUUGUAAACUCCUGUUGUUGGGGAAGAUAAUGACGGUACCCAACAAGGAAGUGACGGCUAACUACGUGCCAGCAGCCGCGGUAAAACGUAGGUCACAAGCGUUGUCCGGAAUUACUGGGUGUAAAGGGAGCGCAGGCGGGAAGACAAGUUGGAAGUGAAAUCUAUGGGCUCAACCCAUAAACUGCUUUCAAAACUGUUUUUCUUGAGUAGUGCAGAGGUAGGCGGAAUUCCCGGUGUAGCGGUGGAAUGCGUAGAUAUCGGGAGGAACACCAGUGGCGAAGGCGGCCUACUGGGCACCAACUGACGCUGAGGCUCGAAAGUGUGGGUAGCAAACAGGAUUAGAUACCCUGGUAGUCCACACCGUAAACGAUGAUUACUAGGUGUUGGAGGAUUGACCCCUUCAGUGCCGCAGUUAACACAAUAAGUAAUCCACCUGGGGAGUACGACCGCAAGGUUGAAACUCAAAGGAAUUGACGGGGGCCCGCACAAGCAGUGGAGUAUGUGGUUUAAUUCGACGCAACGCGAAGAACCUUACCAAGUCUUGACAUCCCUUGACAGGCAUAGAAAUAUGUUUUCUCUUCGGAGCAAGGAGACAGGUGGUGCAUGGUUGUCGUCAGCUCGUGUCGUGAGAUGUUGGGUUAAGUCCCGCAACGAGCGCAACCCUUAUGGUCAGUUACUACGCAAGAGGACUCUGGCCAGACUGCCGUUGACAAAACGGAGGAAGGUGGGGAUGACGUCAAAUCAUCAUGCCCUUUAUGACUUGGGCUACACACGUACUACAAUGGCGUUAAACAAAGAGAAGCAAGACCGCGAGGUGGAGCAAAACUCAGAAACAACGUCCCAGUUCGGACUGCAGGCUGCAACUCGCCUGCACGAAGUCGGAAUUGCUAGUAAUCGUGGAUCAGCAUGCCACGGUGAAUACGUUCCC